rnacentral:tRNA from 1 species
UCCUGAUUGGCUCAGACAGUACAUACAGCACAGGAUUCUUGGUCUUGGGGCUGUGAGUUCAAGUCCCACAUUGGGUG